rnacentral:rRNA from 1 species
UGAGGGAUAUUGGUCAAUGGGCGAGAGCCUGAACCAGCCAAGUAGCGUGCAGGAUGACGGCCCUAUGGGUUGUAAACUGCUUUUAUGUGGGGAUAAAGUGCGUGACGUGUCAUGCAUUGCAGGUACCACAUGAAUAAGGACCGGCUAAUUCCGUGCCAGCAGCCGCGGUAAUACGGAAGGUCCGGGCGUUAUCCGGAUUUAUUGGGUUUAAAGGGAGCGUAGGCUGUCUAUUAAGCGUGUUGUGAAAUAUACCGGCUCAACCGGUGGCUUGCAGCGCGAACUGGUCGACUUGAGUAUGCAGGAAGUAGGCGGAAUUCAUGGUGUAGCGGUGAAAUGCUUAGAUAUCAUGACGAACUCCGAUUGCGCAGGCAGCUUACUGUAGCAUAACUGACGCUGAUGCUCGAAAGUGCGGGUAUCAAACAGG